AAAUCUACCAAGAAUGCAUUUGUGAAAAGAAAUGUUUGCUUUAUUAAGUCAUCGAAAAAAGACCUGGCAACUUUUGUUGAACAAAGACCCAUAAAGGGUCGAAAGAUUGCCAAGUUAUUUUUUGAUGACUCAAUAAAAUAACCAUUUGUUUUGACAAAUGCACUCAUGGAAAAUUU